AGUGAACGCUGGCGGUAGGCCUAACACAUGCAAGUCGAACGGCAGCACAGUAAGAGCUUGCUCUUACGGGUGGCGAGUGGCGGACGGGUGAGGAAUACAUCGGAAUCUACUUUUUCGUGGGGGAUAACGGAGGGAAACUUACGCUAAUACCGCAUACGACCUACGGGUGAAAGCAGGGGAUCUUCGGACCUUGCGCGAUUGAAUGAGCCGAUGUCGGAUUAGCUAGUUGGCGGGGUAAAGGCCCACCAAGGCGACGAUCCGUAGCUGGUCUGAGAGGAUGAUCAGCCACACUGGAACUGAGACACGGUCCAGACUCCUACGGGAGGCAGCAGUGGGGAAUAUUGGACAAUGGGCGCAAGCCUGAUCCAGCAAUACCGCGUGAGUGAAGAAGGCCUUCGGGUUGUAAAGCCCUUUUGUUGGGAAAGAAAAGCAGCAGGUUAAUACCCCGCUGUUCUGACGGUACCCAAAGAAUAAGCACCGGCUAACUUCGUG
rnacentral:rRNA from 1 species